UACGUAGGGUGCAAGCGUUAAUCGGAAUUACUGGGCGUAAAGCGUGCGUAGACGGUCAUGUAAGUCGGGUGUGAAAGCCCCGGGCUCAACCUGGGAAUUGCAUUCGAGACUGCAUGGCUAGGAUGCGGAAGAGGGAAGCGGAAUUUCCGGUGUAGCGGUGAAAUGCGUAGAUAUCGGAAGGAACACCAGUGGCGAAAGCGGCUUCCUGGUCCAGCAUCGACGUCAGGCACGAAAGCGUGGGGAGCAAACAGG
rnacentral:rRNA from 1 species